UCCUGGUUAGCCCAUUUGGAAGAGCACUCUACUCCAAAUAAAGAUGUACUUGGUGCGAUACCAGGAUUAGGAA
rnacentral:tRNA from 1 species